GGGAAGGUGGCUCAGUGGCAGAGCGCUUGCCUUGCAUGCAUGAGGCCCUGGGUUCG
rfam:Dipodomys ordii contig_83817, whole genome shotgun sequence.